rnacentral:rRNA from 1 species
CCUACGGGAGGCAGCAGUGGGGGAUAUUGCACAAUGGGGGGAACCCUGAUGCAGCGACGCCGCGUGGGUGAAGAAGCGCCUCGGCGCGUAAAGCCCUGUCAGCAGGGAAGAAAAUGACGGUACCUGAAGAAGAAGCCCCGGCCAACUACGUGCCAGCAGCCGCGGGAAUACUGAGGGGGCAAGCGUGACCCGGAUGUACUGGGGGGAAAGGGGGCGCAGACGGUGAUGCAAGCCAGGAGUGAAUGCCCGGGGCCCAACCCCGGGACUGCUCUUGGAACUGCGUGGCUGGAGUGCAGGAGGGGCAGGCGGAAUUCCUGGUGUAGCGGUGAAAUGCGUAGAUAUCAGGAGGAACACCGGUGGCGAAGGCAGCCUGCUGGACUGCAACUGACGUUGAGGCCCGAAAGCGUGGGGAGCAAACAGGAUUAGAUACCCGGGUAGUC